CGACGGCCAUAGCCUCCUCAAAGUACCGCGUCCCGUCUGAUCCGCGAAGUCAACUAGGAGAGCGCUCGGUUAGUACCAGGGAUCCCGGGUGCCGUCGUUUU
rnacentral:rRNA from 1 species